rnacentral:ribozyme from 1 species
AGUGAAGUGAAUUAGAACAAAGGACAAGUGGAGAGAGGUGAAUGCGUGCCUUUGUUCGUUUCACUGCACUUCACUUCACACCCUUCACCACGUUCUUGUUUGCUUUGUCUUAUUUCGCUUCACGCACUUCAUUUCAUUCAUUUGUAAGCGAAAUAACACAAAGGAAACAAGAGGAGUGUGAAGGAAAAGUGAACGGCCGUGUGCUUCUGUUUCGUUUAAUUUCAAUGGAAAGAACAAAGUGAAGGGAAGCGAGAAUUAAACGAAACAGAGCAUUUGGCCGUUCAUUCCUCUUCACUCCACUCACACUCAU